rnacentral:rRNA from 1 species
GACGAACGCUGGCGGCGUGCUUAACACAUGCAAGUCGAACGAUGAAGCGGGUGCUUGCCCUCGUGGAUUAGUGGCGAACGGGCGAGUAACACGUGAGUAACCUGUCCUUUUCUUUGGGAUAACGGCUGGAAACGGCUGCUAAUACUGGAUAUUCAGGCUGCAUCGCAUGGUGUGGUUUGGAAAGGUUUUUUCUGGGAUUGGGUGGGCUCGCGGCCUAUCAGCUUGUUGGUGGGGUGAUGGCUUACCAAGGCUUUGACGGGUAGCCGGCCUGAGAGGGUGGUCGGUCGCACUGGGACUGAGAUACGGCCCAGACUCCUACGGGAGGCAGCAGUGGGGAAUAUUGCACAAUGGACGAAAGUUUGAUGCAGCGACGCCGCGUGGAGGGUGUAGGCCUUCGGGUUGUGAACUCCUUUGUCUCGCGAAAAAGGCACAGUUUUGGCUGUGUUGAUGGUAGUGGGGGAAGAAGCGCCGGCUAACUACGUG